AAAAGGAUUUUGAAAUUUUCAGUGCCCAGGCACCAGUCCUGGAGUGACACAAAGGUGCAGAGGAGGAGGAGGAGGAUGCUGCAUCUUCAGCCCCUGUUCCCAAAAGUCUGCCCUGAUGCCCCAGUGAUGUGCAGGGGGUGCAUCCCUGCCCGUCCCACAUGGAUACCUGCAUUGGUGGAGCCGCUUUCCUUCCCAUCCUGAGCAGAGCAGAGCUUGAAGGAGGAGCACAGAGUUAAGACCUGUAGAGGCACAUCAGUGCAUUCAUAGAUUAAUCCUUUAAGAAAGGCUCAGGGCCAAGAGAGCCAAACACUGAAUCAGAAACCAGGAUUCCAGUCCCAACAGCGGUUCUGCAGCUCAGGCUGCAGCUGCCUCAUUUCCUGGAUUGGGGACAUACCUAAAUGUGAGAACAAAAGGCUUUUCUUCCUCAAAACAAACAUAAAAUGCUAUCUAGUGUUGACUCUUUGCUACUGCAGUCUCGCAUAACUAUUUCUGAAUUAAACAAAAUGAGCUGUGAAGUGUUAAGGAGCUCAGCGGCACCUCAUGCUCAGGAUACAGGAGCUUUGUCCUGUUUCAGUGUCCACUCUGAAUUUCAAAGACCAUAGAAAGAUGGCAUUUUUCUGGAUUUCGUCGUUGCAGAGGAAAACUGGAGCAGGGAAGAAAGACUGGGAAGAGAGAUGCAGAAUGAAAGGUCCAACCUGCUGCUGAGCUGGGCACCAGUACUGGCUUAGCUGCACUCACUCUUUUCACUUAGCAUACGAUCAUCUCUAGCUAAAAAACAUCUAUAAUUUUUAAUAUAUUCUAUCUGUGUGUAUUGUAACAUUGAGUUGUAUGAACUGCUUAUAUUAAAGCACUGAAAUAUGUAUUUAACAAUGAAUGUCUGCAUUUAAAGGAGAAGGGAUUGAAUGGCAAUGGACUGAAGAACUAUGGGGUUCAGAUCAAUAACUAAUAUUUAUCUUACGUGUGAGAUUUUGGUUUUUUAAUCCCUCUUGCAAGAUGUCUGAGUUAAUUAAAGAUCAGAUCCUGCCUUCACAGCCUCUCUUGUAAGAGAACUCCUAUAUGAGGCUGCAUUUCCACCAGCAGUUUUUCUGCCCAUCAGCCCAGCAUUACGACAUCUCAGCACAUACAAAAACACCUGCUUUAAAUUGCCAUCAGCCUUGCCUAAGACAGAUCAAAACACCUCAGCUUCCCCUGUGUGAUGUGCCUCAGAAAUGUCACUUUUAUCUUCAGCAGGUGACGCCCCAACUAACAGUUUCCA